GAUGAACGCUGGCGGCGUGCCUAAUACAUGCAAGUCGAGCGAACGGACGAGAAGCUUGCUUCUCUGAUGUUAGCGGCGGACGGGUGAGUAACACGUGGAUAACCUACCUAUAAGACUGGGAUAACUUCGGGAAACCGUAGCUAAUACCGGAUAAUAUUUUGAACCGCAUGGUUCAAAAGUGAAAGACGGUCUUUCUGUCACUUAUAGAUGGAUCCUCGCUGCAUUAGCUAGUUGGUAAGGUAACGGCUUACCAAGGCAACGAUGCAUAGCCGACCUGAGAGGGUGAUCGGCCACACUGGAACUGAGACACGGUCCAGACUCCUACGGGAGGCAGCAGUAGGGAAUCUUCCGCAAUGGGCGAAAGCCUGACGGAGCAACGCCGCGUGAGUGAUGAAGGGCUUCGGAUCGUAAAACUCUGUUAUUAGGGAAGAACAUAUGUGUAAGUAACUGUGCACAUCUUGACGGUACCUAAUCAGAAAGCCACGGCUAACUAAGUG
rnacentral:rRNA from 1 species